GUCGUCGGGAAGAUUUAAUCUAAAAGGAGUAAGGUGAUCAGAGAAUAGGAGGUGGUCCGAAAUCUAGAGAGAAGGCUGAGGUUUCUAGAGAGAAGGAGGAGAAAAUGGCGGUUUCUGGAAUUUGAGUCUAAGGAAGAAGAAGGGUUGCAUGCAAAAGUGGCACCAAUUUUCAAAAAUCUCAUUUUUUAAAUACUGCCUCCAAAAAGGACACUCGGUC
rnacentral:lncRNA from 1 species